rnacentral:rRNA from 1 species
GAUGAACGCUGGCGGCGUGCCUAAUACAUGCAAGUCGAGCGAACGGACGAGAAGCUUGCUUCUCUGAUGUUAGCGGCGGACGGGUGAGUAACACGUGGAUAACCUACCUAUAAGACUGGGAUAACUUCGGGAAACCGGAGCUAAUACCGUAUAAUAUUUUGAACCGCAUGGUUCAAAAGUGAAAGACGGUCUUGCUGUCACGUAUAGAUGGAUCCGCGCUGCAUUAGCUAGUUGGUAAGGUAACGGCUUACCAAGGCAACGAUGCAUAGCCGACCUGAGAGGGUGAUCGGCCACCCUGGAACUGAGACACGGUCCAGACUCCUACGGGAGGCAGCAGUAGGGAAUCUUCCGCAAUGGGCGAAAGCCUGACGGAGCAACGCCGCGUGAGUGAUGAAGGUCUUCGGAUCGUAAAACUCUGUUAUUAGGGAAGAACAUAUGUGUAAGUAACUGUGCACAUCUUGACGGUACCUAAUAAGAAAGCCACGGCUAACUACGUG